CCUACGGGUGGCAGCAGUGAGGAAUAUUGGUCAAUGGGCGAGAGUCUGAACCAGCCAAGUCGCGUGAAGGAUGACUGCCCUAUGGGUUGUAAACUUCUUUUGUCAGGGAGUAAUUGGGUCCACGCGUGGGCUUUUGUAGAUUCCCUGUAGAUAAGGCUUGGGUAAAUCCGUUCCCAGAGGCCGCGUUAUAACGGGGGUUGCGAGGGUUUCCGGGUUUUAUUGGGUUAAAGGGGUCGGAAGUGGGAAGAUAAGUUAAGCGGUAAAGUUUGGGGCUCAAACCUCGAAGUGCAGUUGAAACUGGUGGUCUUGAGUGGACGAGAGGUAUGCGGAAUGCGUGGUGUAGCGGUGAAAUGCAUAGAUAUCACGAAGAACUCCGAUUGCGAAGGCAGCAUACCGGAGCCCAACUGACGCUGAGGCACGAAAGCGUGGGUAUCGAACAGGAUUAGAUACCCGUGUAGUC
rnacentral:rRNA from 1 species